AACGAACGCUGGCGGCAGGCCUAACACAUGCAAGUCGAGCGAGGACUUCGGUCCUAGCGGCGGACGGGUGAGUAACGCGUGGGAACGUGCCCUUUGCUUCGGAAUAGCCCUGGUAAACUGGGAGUAAUACCGGAUGAGCCCUUUGGGGGAAAGAUUUAUCGGCGAAGGAUCGGCCCGCGUUGGAUUAGGUAGUUGGUGGGGUAAUGGCCGACCAAGCCGACGAUCCAUAGCUGGGUUGAGAGGAAGAUCAGCCACACUGGGACUGAGACACGGCGCAGAAUCCUACGGGAGGCAGCAGUGGGGAAUCUUAGACAAUCGGGGAAAUGAUGAUCUAGCCAUGCCGGGUGAGCGCUGAAGGCCUUAGGGUUGUACAGCUCUUUAAGCUGGGAAGAUACUGACGGUACCAGCAGAAGAAGCCCCGGCUAACUCCGUG
rnacentral:rRNA from 1 species